UCGCGUCAACUGCUGUCUCAUUAAAAAAAACUAGUGGGGAGUGAGUCGCCAGUGAGUAAUAACACUUAACCACAACCAUUUUUUUAUCGGGACAAGUCAGAAAUACAUGCUUAUAUAAUAAAAUUCAGAAAUUAUCAUAAAAAUAAAAUGCCCUUUCAAAACGGUAAGAAUAAUCAGUCUCAUUAUGUAUUUCCUGUAACAGAAAUCAAUUUAACAAUUCGGUAAUAAACUCGGUAAGCACUGUAUCAUAUCAAUUCCUUAUGUUUGGGAGGUUUCCAAGAAAUGAUCAUGUAUCUAUAUCACAGUGUGGACCCCUUCGUAAAAGGAGUCAAAUAUAACUGUAGGUCCCUACUCGAGGGAAAUACUUUAACUGUAUGCUAGUUCUACCUUCCCACUAUCGAGGGCUAUAACUGUACUCGAUAAUCGGUAAAUACAAGGUGCACCAGGUCUAACGAACCCGCCGUUAGCUAUGGGAUCCUUCAAAGUCUCCUCCCAUUUAUACUCUUUCUUGUAAGCAGUAAAUACUCAUACAAAAAUAUUUUCAAAAUAAUAAAGGUCAUAUAAUUUCUUAUCAACUCUUGAAAUUUUAUUUCGGUAACGGUUAACGUGUCUCAAGUAACAGUAGAACACGUCUAGUAACAGUGAUAAUAAUUUAAACAAUUGUAACAUCUCAAGUAACGGUAAAACAUAUCUAGUAACGGUGAAAACAUUUAGAUUAACCAGUAAACAUCUCAAGUACACUGUUCGGUACCAUAUCAAGUAAAGGACUUGUUCCACAUGCAAUUUCAAAGCAUUGGUAACAUAUUUAUUUUUUCAAAAUCAUAUAUAAACCAUGCAGGUUAUGAAAACACAAAUUGAGGUAAGAUUACUACUCACAGUGCUCAUGCGAAAUACCAAACUCGUCACCUCGAACGAUCCGUACGACUCUCUUCAAUCAAUCUAUAACCACAUCAAUACUGAUCUUGUGUUAAUUGCCUCAUUUAGGCUAAAUUUAUCACUAAUUUAGGAUACCCAAUCCUCCGAGUUUUAUAUUUUAUCAUCAAUUCGCCGAACAAUAUUUACCCAUGCUAUGGGCAAUUUAGAUUAGUCCAAAAUCUUUUUAAAAAAGGCAACUUAUAUAGUUUAUUCCCUGUAAUUUUCAAUUUCCUUAAUCAUGUAUAUAAUUCGAAACUUAAAUAUUAUUGUCCACAAUAUCCCUUUUUUUUGUAUUAAAUUUUCAAUAUCCGAUAAAAUUCCAUACACAGAAAUCGGGGUUUAAAGGAAUCCACCAGAAACUAAAGAAGAAUCAACAGAAUGGAAAAACUAACCAUUUUUUUUUUGCAGAAGGAUAGUUUUCAGUUGAAGCUGCUAUAUAUUUCCAAUCUAGCUUCCUUUAAUCGUAAAUUUUACUGCCAACAAUUUUCUUUCCUCACUUGCUUGUCAAUAACGUUGAUGUCCAAGUAGUUGUUCCAGCAACUACUCCUUUUGUUUCUUUAAGUUUGGAGUUGGCUUUCCCAAUCCCUAAAUCCCGUC
rnacentral:lncRNA from 1 species